rnacentral:rRNA from 1 species
GGGCACGACACCGGAGAGGGAGCCUGAAGAAACGGCUACCACAUCCAAGGAUGGCAGCAGGCGCGCAAAUUACCCAAUCCCGACACGGGGAGGUAGUGACAAUAAAUAACAAUACGGGGUUCUUUCGGAUCUCGUAAUUGGAAUGAGUACAAUUUAAAUCUCUUAACGAGGAACAAUUGGAGGGCAAGUCUGGUGCCAGCAGCCGCGGUAAUUCCAGCUCCAAUAGCGUAUAUUAAAGUUGUUGCAGUUAAAAAGCUCGUAGUUGAAUUUCGGGGUCAGCAAGUUGGUCGUGCCACCGGUAUGUACUGGCUUUGCUGAUUCCUCCUUCUUGUAGAACCGUAAUGCCAUUAAUUUGGUGUUGCGGGGAAACAGGACUGUUACUUUGAAAAAAUUAGAGUGUUUAAAGCAGGCUAACGCCUGAAUACAUUAGCAUGGAAUAAUGAAAUAGGACGAGCGAUCCUAUUUUGCUGGUUUCUAGGAUUGACGUAAUGAUUAAUAGGGAUAGUUGGGGGCAUUAGUAUUCAAUUGUCAGAGGUGAAAUUCUUGGAUUUAUUGAAGACUGACUACUGCGAAAGCAUUUGCCAAGGAUGUUUUCAUUAAUCAAGAACGAAAGUUAGGGGAUCGAAGACGAUCAGAUACCGUCGUAGUCUUAACC